rnacentral:rRNA from 1 species
AUUGAACGCUGGCGGCAGGCCUAACACAUGCAAGUCGAGCGGAUGAGAGGAGCUUGCUCCUCGAUUCAGCGGCGGACGGGUGAGUAAUGCCUAGGAAUCUGCCCAGUAGUGGGGGACAACGUUUCGAAAGGAACGCUAAUACCGCAUACGUCCUACGGGAGAAAGUGGGGGAUCUUCGGACCUCACGCUAUUGGAUGAGCCUAGGUCGGAUGAGCUAGUUGGUAGGGUAAAGGCCUACCAGGGCGACGAUCCGUAACUGGUCUGAGAGGAUGAUCAGUCACACUGGAACUGAGACACGGUCCAGACUCCUACGGGAGGCAGCAGUGGGGAAUAUUGGACAAUGGGCGCAAGCCUGAUCCAGCCAUGCCGCGUGUGUGAAGAAGGCCCUCGGGUCGUAAAGCACUUUAAGUUGGGAGGAAGGGCUUACAGCGAAUACCUGUGAGUUUUGACGUUACCGACAGAAUAAGCACCGGCUAACUUCGUGCCAGCAGCCGCCGUAA